CCCUUAUCUUCUUCUUUCUUUCGAUUAUGGAAUUAGGGUUUCGAUCAUGGAAUUAGGGGUUUUUUUAAAUCUGUCUUAUUAUUAGUCUCUGGACUUUGUUCUUCAUCUCUCCGAUCCACAGAUGGCUCUGAGCGAGGGUUUAGGUACACUGUGAGAUCUUUCUGUAACAUACAUAACGAAAAGAUUGCUUGUUACGUCACUGUGAGAGGAGACAAGGCAAAUGCACCUUCUUGAGAGUGGCUUGAAAGUGAAGGAACACAGUUGAGGUCAUUUAUCUUGAAAUCAAGCAAAAAAUCAAAGAGCAUUGCCAAAGGCAAGGAGCUCAAGAAGAACGAGAAAUUGCUUCAACAGAUCGAAGCAGUCAAACCCCUGAGCUUGAUCUUGUUUGUACACUGUGAGAUCUCAUUGCUUGCUGAGAGGAGACAAGGCAAUGCAGCUUGGCUUUGAGAGUGGCUUGAAAGUGAAACAAUACUGAACUGUUGAUAGUAAUAGUUGACAUAUUUUGCUGGUUUGGUAUGAGGUUCAUUACAGGUGCAUUCUUGGAUCCGUGGUUAUGCUGCUGAUAUGAAUGAGUUUUUAACAGAACGUUUUACUUGCGAUCUUCUUCGUUGCCGCAAAGCUGCUUUUAGGGCAUUGUCCAAGACUCAAUUUUCUCUCCUUGCACCAAACAAAGAUGGCCUCAUCAGUUUAGAAAACAUUAGAUCGGUUCUAAACUGUUUUUAAAUUUCCCUUUUCUUCUCUCUAAAGGUGAUAUAGUCCCUGUUGCAUUUUAUUCUGUUUGGACAGAGGCUCUUUCAAGGGAAUGCAGCUUCUUGCUUUGCUGCAAUAAACGUUCAUCAACAUGAGUCGCUUGAUUGUCUGGAAGAGAGCAUACCUCAUGCUUAUGAGCUAUUUGAGAAGAAUGGAAACAGAGCCAUCGUCAUUAAAGAACUCGCUUCUGAACUUGGGAUUGGACCAGCUAUUACAGUACAUUCGGUUCUUCAUGAUUGGAUAAGACACACACACAGAUGGGAAACUUAGCUUCGUUGGGUUUGCUAAACUCUUACAUGGAGUCUCUGUUCGGCCAUCGGUGAAAAGUUAUGUAAUAAAAAGAAUAGGAAUCCUCAAAUAACAGACUUGGAGGUUUCUGAGAAUUGGAUUGUGUGAGUAAAUACAUUAAUGCUUAUUAAGAGGUGAUGAGUGUGUUUAUUGUUCUUCAUGUUUUGUAUUGACAAGUGUAGAAGAGAUUCCUUUUGUACUCUUUGAGGUGAGGAUCAUUUGUGUAAGACUGAGUAGUACAGUGGGAAGUUCACUACUGAGCUUGUUGGCCCCCCUA